rnacentral:lncRNA from 1 species
UUUCUUUUUCUUUUACAUUCAUUAGCCAUCAGAGAUAACAUUUAUCAAGUUUCUACAGGUUUUAAUUCGUUUUGCAAUCACAUAACCCCAGGAAACAGAGACCAUCCCCACUUUACAGAAGAGGGGCUUGGAGACCCAGAGAGGUUUAAAUCACUUUGCUAAGGUCACACAGCUGGAAGUCUGCAGUGGACCCAAGGUGGUCGAACUCCAGGACCGCCUUGACCACUACAUUAAGUGGCUCCGUAUGGCUACAUUUUUUUUCCCACGUUGUUAAAGAGUGACUAAUGCUGCCUGCCAUCUGUUACCAAGUCCGGUGGCUUUUCCUUCAGCUCCCUCCCGGAAUUGCAGCGCUCCGAACGCCCAUCCCCCCGCCAGAAGCACUUCCUGGCUCAAGCUAUGGCACCCACAGCUGCCACUGAGGCACCAACCAUCUCUGGGCUUCUGGGCCCCAGCACUGCAGGUUCCAACGGCGGAGAAUUCCGUAUGGAGGCUCUUCUUUGUCCUCUGUGCUCACCUGCACACUGCGUGGCCAUAGCUCCCAGCGUGCUCCGCCUCAGACCUCUCCUCCUUCAAAACCCCCAUCCCACCUUCUGUCUCACAUCAGAGCCGACUCUGAAGCCGUUGCCUGUGCCUGGAAUGCUCUCACCCCUCUCACGAAUUCUCUCCCUUUUUGGUACACAGACAGCUUCUGAAACUCCUAUUGGUCCGUGGAAUUUUUCUCUGCUGAUACAGGAGCAAGAGCUGUUCUCCACUUUGCCGAUUCAGAGUAGCUCCUGGAGUCCAGCCUGGCUGAGGCUUGGGGUCCACCACUUACUAGCCCUAUAAACUUGGGCAGGUUUCUAAGUCUCAAUACCUCCUCAUUGGCAUGGGAUAUUCAUACCUGCAGUCAAAGGAUUGUUAUGAGAUUUAAAUAACAUAAUCCAUGAAACGCUCCUAGCACAGAGCUGGCACAAAGUGGCGGGCCUGGGAGCUGGGUGCACACUCUCACAAGUGAACUUCAGGUCUUUUUCAAGGUCCAAGAAAAUGGAUGAGGUUUUGGGACUGACUCCCUCACUGCCCAAGAGGCAAAGAGGAUGGUCACAUCUGUACCACUUACAAAGUAUGUGAUCACAUAGGUGAUGUCGUCUAAUUAUCACAGCAGCCCUGUGGGGUGUGUUAACUGGAGCUCAGCAGUCUACCUGAACCGUGGGGCACACCGAGGGAGGAUGCUGCAGUGAGUUGCAAGGGUCCCCAAUGGCUGCGUGGAGCCACCCCCUUGCCUGAACUGCUGCCCUCCAGACUUCCACCCUGUGAGGAGGAAUCAUGCUGAAGGGUAAAGCACGACACCUUCAGGGCACCCAUUCCAGAAAGAGAGACCCUCUCUACAGAGUAUGAGAACCCCAACCCCUGACGUAGCUGAUGGCACAAGGUUCCCCUUCAGGACACAUUCUGCUUCUCUGCUUUCCCGGUGCCUGCAGGUUGAAUCUGGACUUUGCUCGGACAGGAUCCGGUCCAGAUGAGGACAUGGCAGCCUCUGGGGAGAGCAGCAUCUACGCCUACUCCUUGACUGAUAGACUAGUGCAGGUGCCUGCCUGGAGGCGUGCUUCUCAAUCUACCCAUGGGGAAGGACCAGCUUUCAAAGGUCCAACCUGUCGUGGGCUGAUACUUUAGUAAAAUACAAUUAAAAUGAAAUUUUAAAAAAGACAUGAAUCUCAUAUUUUUAAUUAUUAGAUUGAACAGACAUAAAAUAACUCUGUCAAAUGGCUAUAAAAUUUCUCAUCACAGUUGCUCUCAGGUUCUGUACUUGCCUCAUUGAGGACUGGUAACAAUCCACAGACCAGCACUGGUCUGUUGACCACACUUUGGGUAGUAUGGACCUUUUAACCUAUACCCAAAAGGAAUAUUAUAUGUGUGGCAUGUAUAUUUAUAAAAAUGUUUAGAUAGAUUAAGUAACUCUGUAUUAGAAAAUUUUUAUUUUGAACAAUC